rnacentral:rRNA from 1 species
GACGUAGGGCGCGAGCGUUGUCCGGAUUUAUUGGGCGUAAAGAGCUCGUAGGCGGCUUGUCGCGUCGACUGUGAAAACCCGUGGCUCAACCAUGUGGUCUGCAGUCGAUACGGGCAGGCUAGAAUUCGGUAGGGGAGACUGGAAUUCCUGGUGUAGCGGUGAAAUGCGCAGAUAUCAGGAGGAACACCGGUGGCGAAGGCGGUUCUCUGGGCCUGUACUGACGCUGAGGAACGAAAGCGUGGGGAGCGAACAGG